UACAGAGGGUGCUAGCGUUGUUCGGAAUCAUUGGGCGUAAAGCGCACGUAGGCGGCCUUGUAAGUCGGAUGUGAAAUCCCACGGCUUAACCGUGGAAGUGCAUCCGAAACUGCGAGGCUCGAGUAUGGAAGAGGGUCGCAGAAUUCCCGGUGUAGAGGUGAAAUUCGUAGAUAUCGGGAGGAAUACCAGUGGCGAAGGCGGCGACCUGGGCCAAUACGUGACGCUGAGGUGCGAAAGCAUGGGGAGCGAACAGG
rnacentral:rRNA from 1 species